rnacentral:rRNA from 1 species
GGAGGUAGUGACAAUAAAUCUCAAUACGAAGCCUUUGGUUUUGUAAUUGAAUUGAGAACAAUGUACAAUCGUUAUCGAUAAACAAUUGGAGGGCAAGUCUGGUGCCAGCAGCCGCGGUAAUUCCAGCUCCAAUAGCGUAUAUUAACGUUGUUGCAGUUAAAAAGCUCGUAGUUGAAGUUUAGAUAAUUUAUUGAAAGUGUUUGUAUUCGUACAUUCUACUUUUAUGUAAGUUAUCGACAUCCAGGUGGGUGCUCUGAUUCCUUCGGGGGUUAGGGUACUAGACUGGUCAUUUACUGUGAGAAAAUUAGAGUGUUUAAAGCAGACUUUUAUCAAAAUAGUUUGAAUAGAUUAGCAUGGAAUAAUAAGAUUGGCUUUCAUAGUCGAUUUUUUGGUUUGUUUAUGAAAGCAAGAUUAAUAGGGACAGUUGGGGGUAUUCAUAUUCAAUAGCUAGAGGUGAAAUUCUAUGAUUUAUGGAAGAUGAACAAGUGCGAAAGCA